rnacentral:rRNA from 1 species
GACGAACGCUGGCGGCGUGCCUAAUACAUGCAAGUAGAACGCUGAAGAGAGGAGCUUGCUCUUCUUGGAUGAGUUGCGAACGGGUGAGUAACGCGUAGGUAACCUGCCUUGUAGCGGGGGAUAACUAUUGGAAACGAUAGCUAAUACCGCAUAACAAUGGAUGACACAUGUCAUUUAUUUGAAAGGGGCAAUUGCUCCACUACAAGAUGGACCUGCGUUGUAUUAGCUAGUAGGUGAGGUAACGGCUCACCUAGGCGACGAUACAUAGCCGACCUGAGAGGGUGAUCGGCCACACUGGGACUGAGACACGGCCCAGACUCCUACGGGAGGCAGCAGUAGGGAAUCUUCGGCAAUGGGGGCAACCCUGACCGAGCAACGCCGCGUGAGUGAAGAAGGUUUUCGGAUCGUAAAGCUCUGUUGUAAGUCAAGAACGAGUGUGAGAGUGGAAAAUUCACACUGUGACGGUAGCUUACCAGAAAGGGACGGCUAACUACGUGCCAGCAGCCGCGGUAAUACGUAGGUCCCGAGCGUUGUCCGGAUUUAUUGGGCGUAAAGCGAGCGCAGGCGGUUUGAUAAGUCUGAAGUUAAAGGCUGUGGCUCAACCAUAGUUCGCUUUGGAAACUGUCAAACUUGAGUGCAGAAGGGGAGAGUGGAAUUCCAUGUGUAGCGGUGAAAUGCGUAGAUAUAUGGAGGAACACCGGUGGCGAAAGCGGCUCUCUGGUCUGUAACUGACGCUGAGGCUCGAAAGCGUGGGGAGCGAACAGGAUUAGAUACCCUGGUAGUCCACGCCGUAAACGAUGAGUGCUAGGUGUUGGAUCCUUUCCGGGAUUCAGUGCCGCAGCUAACGCAUUAAGCACUCCGCCUGGGGAGUACGACCGCAAGGUUGAAACUCAAAGGAAUUGACGGGGGCCCGCACAAGCGGUGGAGCAUGUGGUUUAAUUCGAAGCAACGCGAAGAACCUUACCAGGCCUUGACAUCCCGAUGCUAUUUCUAGAGAUAGAAAGUUACUUCGGUACAUCGGUGACAGGUGGUGCAUGGUUGUCGUCAGCUCGUGUCGUGAGAUGUUGGGUUAAGUCCCGCAACGAGCGCAACCCCUAUUGUUAGUUGCCAUCAUUCAGUUGGGCACUCUAGCGAGACUGCCGGUAAUAAACCGGAGGAAGGUGGGGAUGACGUCAAAUCAUCAUGCCCCUUAUGACCUGGGCUACACACGUGCUACAAUGGUUGGUACAACGAGUUGCGAGUCGGUGACGGCAAGCUAAUCUCUUAAAGCCAAUCUCAGUUCGGAUUGUAGGCUGCAACUCGCCUACAUGAAGUCGGAAUCGCUAGUAAUCGCGGAUCAGCACGCCGCGGUGAAUACGUUCCCGGGCCU